GCAAGUCGGUUACUCUGGAAAAGACUAGCCCACUGUUUUGGGUGGAUCUGAUUUUGGACCUUCAUCACAAACAGCUUUUGGAACAUCAAUUGGUGGUGGUUGUUGCAUGCAAAUCUGAACUUUAUUCUCAGGCUCCAUCGGAACAAAUACUGGAUUGAUGGGAGGCUCUGUAAUCCUCACAUUUGCUGUUGGUAUCAAGGAGACUCCAGAUGGUUGUGGAUCUAUUACUGCAUGAGGCAAUGGAACAGUUAUC
rnacentral:lncRNA from 1 species